CCCUUAGAUGUUCUGGGCUGCACGCGCGCUACACUGAAGCGUUCAACGAGUAUUCACCUUGCCCGGGAGGGUUGGGUAAUCUUUUGAAAACGCUUCGUGAUGGGGAUAGAUUAUUGCAAUUAUUAAUCUUCAACGAGGAAUUCCUAGUAAGCGCGAGUCAUCAGCUCGUGCUGAUUACGUCCCUGCCCUUUGUACACACCGCCCGUCGCUCCUACCGAUUGAGUGAACCGGUGAAUAAUUCGGACUGCAGCACUGCUUGGUCUCCAGGCUUUGCAGCGGAAAGUUUAGUGAACCUUAUCACUUAGAGGAAGGAGAAGUCGUAACA
rnacentral:rRNA from 1 species